rnacentral:rRNA from 1 species
GACGAACGCUGGCGGCGUGCUUAACACAUGCAAGUCGAACGGAAAGGCCCUGCUUUUGUGGGGUGCUCGAGUGGCGAACGGGUGAGUAACACGUGAGUAACCUGCCCUUGACUUUGGGAUAACUUCAGGAAACUGGGGCUAAUACCGGAUAGGAGCUCCUGCUGCAUGGUGGGGGUUGGAAAGUUUCGGCGGUUGGGGAUGGACUCGCGGCUUAUCAGCUUGUUGGUGGGGUAGUGGCUUACCAAGGCUUUGACGGGUAGCAGGCCUGAGAGGGUGACCGGCCACAUUGGGAUGGAGAUACGGCACAGACUCCUACGGGAGGCAGCAGUGGAGAAUAUUGCACAAUGGGCGGAAGCCUGAUGCAGCAACGCCGCGUGCGGGAUGACGGCCUUCGGGUUGUAAACCGCUUUCGCCUGUGACGAAGCGUGAGUGACGGUAAUGGGUAAAGAAGCACCGGCUAACUACGUG